rnacentral:lncRNA from 1 species
UGUUGUUGUAUUUAUGCAGCUGAGAUCAAAUCAUCACAAAAUGUUUCCUUUUAUUAUUUCAGUGUUCCUCGGUGGUCAGAUCUUUCUAAAGGAAUCAGGAUCUUUGUGAAUCUGUUCUGUGCAGCAGCAGAGAGAGAACAGCAGACAGGAGAGAAGACACUGGAGCUGUUAUCAUCAGUGUGCAGAUACAAAACAUUCCCUUUAAAAUAUGAGGAGGAUUAUAAUAUUGUCAACUUAAAUGAAUAUCAGAGUAAUUUCCUGCUGGAUCUGUACUCCCACCUGAAGGACUAUGAGACUAAAACAGGUCUGAGUCUCCUUCCAUCAUUACAGUCAGUUUUCCAGUCAGCUCCUGCAGUCUGGAUCAUAAACCUCUCAGAGAGAAAGAGCUCCAUCCUCCUGGAAGUGCUGAAACUCCAAUCAGAGAAGAAACAAGUGGUGCUGAGAGGCUGCUCAGAUGAAGAGAGUGAAGUGAGGAGUUUCCUACAGUGUCUGCCUUAUAUCUCACAGCUCAGUGUUUCUCGGUGGUCAGAUCUUUCUAAAGGAAUCAGGUUCUUUGUGAAUCUGUUCUGUGCAGCAGCAGAGAGAGAACAGCAGACAGGAGAGAAGACACUGGAGCUGUUAUCAUCAGUGUGCAGAUACAAAACAUUCCCUUUAAAAGACAUGUAUGAUGAUGAAUAUCGGAGUAAUUUCCUGCUGGAUCUGUACUCCCACCUGAAGGAUUAUGAGACUAAAACAGGUCUGAGUCUCCUUCCAUCAUUACAGUCAGUUUUCCAGUCAGCUGCUGCAGUCUGGAUCAUAAACCUCUCAGAGAGAAAGAGCUCCAUCCUCCUGGAAGUGCUGAAACUCCAAUCAGAGAAGAAACAAGUGGAGCUGACAGGCUGCUCAGAUGAAGAGAGUGAAGUGAGGAGUUUCCUACAGUGUCUGCCUUAUAUCUCACAGCUCAGGUAAGUCAGACAAAUACUGUAUAUUUAAUAAUAAUAUGUUGCUUCUUUAAGAAGAGAUUUGUCA